CAGGGGCUGGGAACAGGACAUGGCUGUGUGCAGCAGUUCACCACAGUAACUCUCCAGUUUGUUUUAUUACUUUCUCAUUCACUACUUUGUUACUUAAUGAACCUCAAGAUCAUUGAAAGACCACCUCCACUAGAUGAAGGCCUGGAAUUCUAUCAUGGCACUCUUUCAAAAUUAAGAAAUGUUCUUCCACUCAUUUCAUUAGGAGUUUUUACUUGGGUACCCAGCCCUUGAUUCCUGAUUGACUUGGUUCAUUUACUCAAGACAUGCUUAGCAUCAUUGCAGUUCUACACAAACUUCUGAUCAUUGGAAAGAAUUUGUAGCAUGGCAGGGGUGCCAGGAUGUGUCUAAAGAUGGAGAGUUCUUUAUUGUGCCAUGGAGAGAAGAAGUCACCCUCAAGGGAAGGCAGGAAGUGUUUGCAUUGGUGCCCACCAUGAGGGUUUUGUCAGGGGAGGGGAGCUGUAAGUUGCAGUUGCGGUAGCCAAUAGAGCAAAAACUGUCCAAGGGACAAGCUGAAUCAGAAUAUCCCACUGUUGCCAACUCCCAUGAUUCUGUCACAUGUUUAUGAUAUUUGGAAUUUUUCUUAGAGCCCCAGCUGCUGGAAUCACAAGAAUGCAUGAGACCCUCAGCUUUCAUUUAAUAAAAUUUAAAUUUCUAGUUGACAUGGUUGUGGAGAAAACCUUAAAACAAAGCAAGGAAGCAAAUAAAAAGAACCAACACAUAUCUUUUUGAUUAUGAUUAAAAAUUAUGAUUUUUAAACCAAUGUUAUGAGGUUUGAGACCUGACAUGAUAAUUGAGUGCUUGGAGGUUUUCUGUAAAUUGGGGUUGGGAAUUUUUUGACAAAAUGUUUUUGUUGGACAAUGCUGAUUCAAAAACAAAACUUCUCAUGGAAAUGUAACAGUUUUAAUUAAAAUUCAGUUAGGAAGGGUUUCAGGUCCAGGAUAGAAUUUCUGGUCAGAGACAGAGAAAGAAAGCCCAAAAAAGCCAAUAGCACAGUGCUUCAGGCACUCAACUGUUUAUUAAAGAACAGAGGUCUGAUUUUUCCCUGGUUAUUCUGAAUAACUGACAUUUUUUAGUAGGAAAAAAUAAACAACAAAAUAUAUGAUAAGAUGUUCUUUGCAUUUAAAGUUGAGCUGGAUCUUGUUAUUGAUUAUCCUAAAACUUGCUGAUUUAGGAAAAAGUUAAUUAGAGCCUCAAAGAAUACUUUCCUGGGGAAUAUCUUCCUUUUUAUGACUUGCUAAUCAGGUACUAGUAUUUUGUUAAAGAUCUGUUAUUUUUAGAGGGGAGUAUUGAGGUUCUGUUCAUCCCACAGGUGCCAGGAUGUGUCUAAAGAUGGAGAGUUCUUUAUUGUGCCAUGGAGAGAAGACUUGCAUCCGAAGAAAUGGGUAUUCACCCACGAAAGCUCAUGCUGCAAAACGUCUGUUAGUCUAUAAGACCUAGGGCUGGCUCCGAUUGAAGGACCUGCCGUCUAAGUGCUGCCAAAGAGGAAGCGAGGCACUGAAGGACCCGCCGCCGAAUUGCCGCCGCAGACCCUGAUGUGCCACCCCAACAAUGGACGGAGUACCGCCCCUUUCUAUUGACCGCCCCAGGCACCUGCUUCCUUCGCUGGUGCCGGCCCUGCUCAGACCACCACUUUGCUUGACACAAGUGGUUGGGAGUGAAGGAGGGUACGAAUGAUGCUUCUCUCCUCCUCCUUGGCCCCCAGUUCUCAUUUCUUAAUUUCAGCCAGCGAGCAGCAAUGAGUUCUGUGUUGCAACCUACUGCCAGGUACCUGGCAACCCAAUGAGCUCAGCUGGGCCCAAUAAACACUAAGUGACUGUGCUCCCCAGUUGGUCAGAAGAGCCAACAGAUCAUCAUUUAAACCAUAUAGCAACAGCAGCACUCUGGCUGCGCUAUGUAUUCCACGUUUAUAUCUGUACUAGGCCUGCUUCCUGGCUGGCCCUUGUUCUGAUUCUUGCUAGUUCUGCUCCAGCCCUAGUUCCUGCCUAUGUCUGAACUCCUGGCUCUGACCACUGGCUUGCCUCCUGGCUAUGCCUUUGGCUCUUCCUUUUGGUGCUGUUCUGACCACUAAGAAAGACUCCUGGCUCCAACCACUACGUUGUACUAUCUAUACCUCUGGCGACACCCACUUUGUUCUGAUGCACUAAAGCUGUUGCAUUUUUGUGGGUAUUGGUUCCUUUGUAAAGGAUGGGAUUAGGAUUAACAGUGGAUCUUUAGCCCCUGAGAUUACGGAAAGUGCCAUAUUCACAAACUUUAUAUGCACUAUACUCACUGAAAAAUGUUUAUUGAAUUAUUCAUUGAGGCUUUUACAUAUUCUGUGAUCCACAGUUCAACCAUUUACCUAUAAGAAGCCUGAUCGUCAAGUAUCAGACUUCAAAGAGUUGAGGAUGCUCAGUACCACACAAGCUUGGGCCUAUAUACUGUAAAUAGAGAUAUGAAUAACUCUGACUAUGUACACAUUGAAUUAGAAAACUAAAACUACAGGAUAGCUCCGGAGAGGCAAUUCAGUUUCAGCAAGAGAAAAGUAUUAUUUAGAAGCAAUAUUCUCUAAACAGAUCACUACUAAUAGUGAGGAUUACUGACUUGCUUAAACUUAGAUACGUGCUUAAAUUCCUUGCUGAACCAAGGACACAUCAAAGCUUUAAUGC